UGCUACCAGAGAUAGCGGUGCCUUCACAUGGGAAAUCACUCCUGUUGAAGUUCCUGGCCCAAGAGGAAAACCAUCAACUAUCGUUGAUAAGGAUGACGAUUUGGGAAAGUUUGAUCCUGCUAAAUUGAGGAAGCUUCAACCAGCUUUCAAGGAGAAUGGUGGCAGUGUUACUGUUGGCAAUUCUUCUGG